rnacentral:rRNA from 1 species
AUUGAACGCUGGCGGCAUGCCUUACACGUGCAAGUCGAACGGCAGCACGGGUGCUUGCACCUGGUGGCGAGUGGCGAACGGGUGAGUAAUACAUCGGAACAUGUCCUGUAGUGGGGGAUAGCCCGGCGAAAGCCGGAUUAAUACCGCAUACGAUCUACGGAUGAAAGCGGGGGACCUUCGGGCCUCGCGCUAUAGGGUUGGCCGAUAGCUGAUUAGCUAGUUGGUGGGGUAAAGGCCUACCAAGGCGACGAUCAGUAGCUGGUCUGAGAGGACGACCAGCCACACUGGGACUGAGACACGGCCCAGACUCCUACGGGAGGCAGCAGUGGGAAUUUUGGACAAUGGGCGAAAGCCUGAUCCAGCAAUGCCGCGUGUGUGAAGAAGGCCUUCGGGUUGUAAAGCACUUUUGUCCGGAAAGAAAUCCUUGGCUCUAAUACAGUCGGGGGAUGACGGUACCGGAAGAAUAAGCACCGGCUAACUACGUG